AGAGUUUGAUCCUGGCUCAGGACGAACGCUAGCGGCGUGUCUGAAACAUGCAAGUCGAGCGGUGGGAGCGCAAGUUUCCAUAGCGGCGAACGGGUGCGUAACACGUAAAGAACCUACCCUGCAGUGGGGGAUAGCCCUGGGAAACCGGGGGGUAAUACCGCAUUCGCUCUUUUUUACGCCUGUAAAGAAGAGGAAAGGACGAUGGUAGAACAUCGUGUGCUGGAGGAAGGCUUUGCGACCUAUCAGGUAGUUGGCAGGGUAAUGGCCUACCAAGCCGAAGACGGGUAGCUGGUCUUAGAGGAUGGUCAGCCACACUGGAACUGAGACACGGUCCAGACUCCUACGGGAGGCAGCAGUUUAGAAUAUUGUGCAAUGGGCGAAAGCCUGACACAGCGACGCCGCGUGGGUGAAGAAGGCCUUCGGGUCGUAAAGCCCUGUCGGUAGGGAGGAGCAAGGACAGUACCUACCAAGAAAGCCCCGGCUAACUACGUGCCAGCAGCUGCGGUAAUACGUAGGGGGCGAGCGUUGUCCGAAGUUACUGGGCGUAAAGCGCACGUAGGCGGCUCGGUCAGUUACCUCUUAAAGAUGGCAGCUCAACUGCUAUAAGUGGGGUAAGACGGUCGAGCUUGAGGCAAACAAAAGAAUGUGGAACUCCGAGUGUAGCGGUGGAAUGCGUAGAGAUUCGGAAGAACACCCAUGGCGAAGGCAGCAUUCUGGGUUUGACCUGACGCUGAAGAGCGAAAGCCAGGGGAGCGAACGGGAUUAGAUACCCCGGUAGUCCUGGCCGUAAACGAUGGGCACCAGGUGUAGGAGAUAUCGACCUCUUCUGUGCCGAAGCUAACGCAAUAAGUGCCCCGCCUGGGGAGUACGGUCGCAAGGCUAAAACUCAAAGGAAUUGACGG
rnacentral:rRNA from 1 species